rnacentral:lncRNA from 1 species
CAAAAGUAGGAUGCAGGGUCUCACCCAGGGCCUGUGGGCUCAGAACGUCACAGUAAAUCCUCCUCUACCCGGGGCCCCUUGGCAGUCUGGCUUCCUGCUGCACCACUGGCCCCUCCUCCCCCACGCCCCACCCCCCGCAGUGCCGGGACCUCCUGGCUGCAGCUCCACACUCAGGCUCACCUGCCCCUGCAUCAUGCCUUUGCACCAGCUGAUACAUGGACUGCACUCCGCUACGUGACUGGGGGUUACCCUCCCCACCCCCAACUGUUGUGUGACACUUUUCCAGUGAGGCCGACUGGAAGUAAAACACCUUAUCGAAAAUAACCACUGAUCCUCCACAGUCCCCCUUCAUGUGACUUUUCCCGCAAAUGAUCAAAUCUGCUGUCACACAGAUACAUUUGUUUCCUGUGGUCUUUCUUUGCACCCUCCCCUACCCCAGAAUGCCAGCAUCUUGAGGGCAGACACUUGAUCUGUAUUUUUCUUUGGCCACUCCCAUGGCAUACGGAAGUUCCCAGGCCGGGGACAGAACUUGUGCCACAGCAGCAACCCAAUACGCAGUAGUAACAACACGAUCCUUAACCCAAUGAACACGGAUCCUUAACCCAAUGAGCCACCAGGGAACUCCUUGAUCUGUUUUAUUCAAUACUCUAUCUCCAGUGUCUAGAACACACCUGGUACACAGUUGGAGCUCACUCCGUAUUUGUCAAUGAAUGAAGUUUUAUUCUCCUGUUUCAUACUCUGAGGUUUACUUAGAAUAGUGCCCCAUCAGCAGUCUUUAGAACAGGAGUGCCCAGGAAACAGAAAGGGGCUGGUUUCUGUUCGUUUUGUGGUGGUGGCUGGUUUGUUUAUAGGGGUAGGAGACACCUGGGCCCUGGAAGCUUUUCUUUGCUUAAUUUAUUCCAAUCUAGUGUGUGUGCCAUCAAGCAGACAGGACACAAAAACCACUUAGGAGAUCUGUUCUGAUCAGCCCAGAGAGACAGGCUUUGGGGCAGGGUUGUAAGAUCAUGCUGACCAGGGAAUAUCUGGCUGAGCUCUGCCCCACCCCACCCCCGGCAGAAAGGUUCCUAUUUCUGGCGCCCAGAAAUCUCACAACAGAGCAUUAAAAAAUAACUUUUAAAAAAACUACCAGUUUCUUUCUUUUCCUGAAAGCCGGUCACUUAAGGGAGAACUACCACAUCCCAAAUGGCAGGGCCAGCCUCACAGAGCACUGCUAACUACAGCAAUGCCUUUCCAGCGACCACUUGUGCCACGCACACAGCCAGGAGCUGGGCACUGGAGAGGCUGGGAAUGGCCCUGAGCUCCAUGAGGCCCCUUGUCAUCUGAUUCUCCCAGGUCAGAGGUCUAAAUGCGAUGAGAUGGACGGCUGGGGGAGGGGCUGGGGGAGACCGAGGGGCUCAGGUGGAAGCAGCUCCAGGUGGUGACCCCAGCGGGUAGGGCUAGAAGGCAGGUGGGGUCACUUCUCUUAAAAGUAAACGCUUAAUUCUCAGAAGCCAGCAGAAAAGGCAAGGGCUGAGGUUCAUUUUCCACCAGCCCUGCUGGAACAGGAGCAGCAUGGAGCUAUGGAUGCUGCCCAGCCAGGCACUGUACCCUGCACUCCUGGUACCUAAACCCAGGGAGGAAAAUGACAAAGGAAAGGAUGCAAAGACAGGGGGGAGAGGGCAAUUCAAGAACCCAAGAGAUGCCCCCAAACUCUUCUGGUCCCCAGCAACCCAAUUGUUUCCUAUCAUCCUCAAAGCCAGGCCACCUUCCCCAGGGGGAAAUGCCUUCCUGUCCCCACUCACGGUGGCGCUGCACGCACACAUGGUGCCUCUACUCUGCCCCAGGAGCCUGGCUUGUGGCUUUGAGAGUGGUUGUUACACUUUGCUGGUGGUGCCCAGCCUGCCCACUGGCUCCCUCACUCUGGGAGGGGGGCUGGAGACUGGGAUGGGUUGUGGUUGAGCAGCCCCAACUCCUGGGGGAAGUGGCCUGGCUGCUGCAAGAAGUGCCCAAAGAGAAGUGCCCAAGGGCAGAGGGGGUGGUGGUGGGGAGCCCGCUUCCUUUGCUUUCCUUGACUCGAGCCGAAUGGGAGAUUAUCUAGCAGCUCCUCCCUGAUCGCAGGGGCACAUUUUCCCUCAUCCUGCAGUAGGAAACGCCGCCCAUCGCCCACAGUGCACAACUCGGGCCCCCAGCUGUGGGGCCUGCAGGGCUCAUCCGGGUGGGGCACCCGGCCCCUAGGCUGCAGGGGAAGGGACCGGUCCCACCCAACCCGUGGAGGCAAGUGGUGAAGGCACCAGGACACCACACUCCAGCCCCACAAGACUGGCUUGGUUGAUAAGGGGGGAAAAAUAGACACUCCAAGCCUGCCCAGGAUGGGGUGAAAGGGCUGGAUAGGCUAGAGGAGGGAUCGGUGUCUUCCUCAUUCUGGGAAUGACAUUUUUUGUGGCCUAUCGCAUGUCAAGCUCACUGCCAGGCACCCUCGGUUCCAGCCUUUGCCAGAGCAUAGCAGCACAGGAAGCAGGCAGGGGCCUCCAACCACUGCUUUGCAACCUGCCUCCUCGCCCUGCCCAGUGCAGGGAUGUGGGGUUGGGGGGACUCUGAGGAUCUAUCCCCCACCCUGCCCCACACCCGCUCCAGAACUCCAGGGUCUCUGGAGCACAAGGGUUCGCUGCUGGCAAGGACUCUUCCCUGCCCCCUCCACCUGCUUCUUCGGGAUCCAGCCCUCUGGUAUUAGUCGUGGGAGCUCUCAAAAUACUUUGGGGUGGAAGAGACUUAAGUUUCCCAGGAAGGCUGGACACAUGAUACUAGAGAAGGCCCCAGAUCUGGAAAGGGUGAGGGCAGGUAGCCUGGGCCCGAGAGCAGGCUCAGUCCCAGAGAAGAACCAUAAAGAACCCAUUCCCGCUGCCUGCUCCCCCACAUCUCCCAGCCCAUGGUGGCUGCAGAGCCAGCCUAGCUCCCGGCUUUGUUCCCAAGCUGUCAAGAGGCUGGGGGCUGUCUUUGGUGCUCUGGCCCCCAAAAACAUCCUGUUGGAUUCUUGCCAGUGGGGAGAGAAGAUGGAAAAAGAAACACCUGGACUUUCAUAAAGUAUAUUCUGCAAAAAACAAGCCAACACAAAACAAGGGCACGGGCCCCAGAGGAGGCUCCUUCUAGAAGAGAUCUGCAUGGAGGACGAGGCCCUCUGGCCACUCCCCAACCCCAGCCUCCUGAAGAGCAGUUGCACGGCCUCCAGCUCUGCCAGGGACCGGGCAGUUGGUCCUUCAAUCCUCUCUACGCCCACCAUGAGGCUGGAUUCUGUCCUGAGGGGCUGAGCAGAGGUGUUGAUCCAAGAGGAAGGGGGAGGGAAGAGGCGGGAGAGAUGAAGAACAGGGAGAGAGAUGGGGAGGAAGGGGGGAGAGAGAGGAACAGGGAGAGAGAUGG